ACCAUUUAUGGAGGGAGCCGUCGAAGGUGGGAUAGAUGAUUGGGGUGAAGUCGUAACAAGGUAGCCGUAUCGGAAGGUGCGGCUGGAUCACCUCCUUUCUAAGGAGA
rnacentral:rRNA from 1 species